GCUACAAUAAGGAAACAUCCCUAUCUUACAUAGAGCGUGCAGCCAACCGCUGCGACUUCCUGACCCCGGGUACAACGGAGUCAGGCGUGGCUCUAGACACCCUCGUGACAUCAGGUUGAUACUAACUACGAACUUUUGGCUUGCUAUGUCCACGAUGACAGCUUAAACUUGGCGGUAAAGCAAAUUUCUAGUAGAAUGUUAGCAUGCUUUGACAUGUUCACAGUAAAUAUUUUCUUGAAUUUUUACUACCCCUAUAUAGGAAUAUUAGAUUAUGUCAUUUUUAGUUGUCUGUACCUUUACUAUUGUGUGGAUUGUUUACACAUAUGUCUAAAGAUAAAUAAUUGCAUUCUUUACUAGGUUAUAUUUCAAAAUAAGGACAAUGAAGACGAUACUGCUAUAGACCAUCCAUUGGCUUUGCAAAACCUUGAAAAUCCGUUGGUUAGUGAUGACAAUGCGGAAUCAGAGAAUGAGAUGCUUCCGAGAGAAUGUUUUCAGACAAAUCCAUUAUUGAGCAAAAAUUCACAUUACAGAGUUUUUACGCUGGAGCAGACAGAAGAUAGAACUGAACUGUUAAAUUGGUGUACCUGUUCAAAUUGUACAUUGAUGCCGACAAAAUUAGAGUCUAUAUGCUGUAAAGAAAUAUCCAAUGCUGAAACAUACAUAGGCGAUUUCACAUGUAUAAUUGAACAUGAGUUUUUCAACAUUUUCUGUGAGCGUGAUGAGACUGCCAAUAUUGUUCUAAGGACAAUUGGACAAGUUCUAAAUACACCUCCGGAAAAGCAUGUCAACAGAUUGAAAAGAGAGGCUGCUUAUCGGUCGUUCACUGCAUGGAAUCAUGGAUAUUUGGGCAUCGGCGACCGUCGACUGAAUCCAUCAUGUGUUGUGAAUAGUGUUCGUAAUUCCUUUCCUGACCCAGAUGAAGAGUACAUGGGUUUCAAACAACAUAGCGAUAGCCCAGCGGAGUUUAUGGCUUUUGAAUAAAUGAAUUAAAUAUUGUUCAAAUUGUAAUUUAUUCUGAUUAUACAUUGUAUGUUAGAAAAAGCCAUGUUUAUAUCAUAAUAUUUAUAUUUACUUCAUUCUUAUUCUCUGCCUUCUUUAUAAUUAUUACAUGGCUAAUACUGUACUAUGUCUUAGCUUCCAGAAAUUUUCAUAGUAUGAAUAACACAAAAUGUUUUACACUAAGAAAAAAAAAAAAGUUCAGAGUCAAUUUUUUUUAUAAUUUUUUUUAUUAAAACAUGCGAGUUCAUUAUUUUAUUUAAAACUUUUUUAAACUGUUGAAAAAUUCAAUAAAAAUAACAUAAGAUACAGCCUGUGUUGCACAUCGAGCUCCAUUCCCUUUACUAUUAUCCCCUAUCUCAUCUUUUAUCUUAGGGGUCUUGGUUGUCGUGUUUGUCUCCUUCUCUUAGGGCGGCUUCACACGAACGUGUGAAGCCCAUGCCCGUGCUGUGGACGGCAAAUUGCGGUCCAGAAUGGCCGGGCACCUACUGUUUGGCUGCCGCAAGGGUGUCACAGCCCCAUUCACUUGAAUGGGUCCGCGAUCCCUCCGUUCCGCAAAAAGAGAUUAUGCUCUAUCUUUUUGCGGUGCAGAAGGACAGAACGGAACACCGGAAAACACUAUGUAGUGCUUCUGUAGUGUUCUGUUCCGUCGUUCCAUUCCGCAUCUCCGGAGUUUGAGGACGCAUUGAAAUGAAUAGAUCCGCAUCCGUGAUGCGUAAAGGCAACGGAACAUUCCCCGUGUAUUGCGGAUCCACAAAUGCGGUCCACAAUACGGGCACUUAGCUCCUGCGCCCGUGUUAAAACGCCCUUAGGCUGUGAUGCUGACAAAUCGCAGUGCAGAGUUCAGCCUGGGAUAAAAACUAAAAACCCCAACUUGUGAUUUUAGCUCUGCUUUUAGACAACGAAACAGACUGGAAGAUAAAGACACCAAGGAUAACAAUGGGAGACUCCUCCUUGUACAACAUGGUCCCCUAGUAUAAUAGAGGACAUAGUGUCAUAAAAGAGCGUUGGCUUGGGACAGAACAUAAAUGUAAGGGAGAUCCAUGAUCAUCGCACGCUCUUUUUGUAUAUUAGACUUAAAAAUAAAUUUUAAUUUAUACAUAUCUUAUUGUAACACCGAAAAAAUAUCAUUUUUUUAAUUAUAGAGAUGAAUUCCUCCUUCAAGAUUAGAACAUGGACUGUUACAAAAAUAAUAAUAUUAAUGCACACUCACAAAACGUGUUUGUGCCAGUUAUUUUAAGAGAUAGAGUCUAACGUAUUUUUCUAAUAAGAUAAAACACAUUUUUCUGAAAAAUUCUAAAG